rnacentral:misc_RNA from 1 species
UCUCCGUUGGUGAACCAGCGGAGGGAUCAUUACAGAGUCGUAAAACACUCCCAAACCCAUGUGAACUUACCAAUGUUGCCUCGGCAGAGCCUACCCGGUAACUGUUCGGAGAAGCUACCCUGUAGCUACCCUGUAACGGCCUACCCUGUAACGCACUGCCGGUGGACUUUUAAACUCUUGUUAUUUUUAAAGUAAUCUGAGCGUCUUAUUUUAAUAAGUCAAAACUUUCAACAACGGAUCUCUUGGUUCUGGCAUCGUGAAGAACGCAGC